rnacentral:misc_RNA from 1 species
AGCCACCAUCCACACAUCAAAGGAAAUACGCCAAGCUCAAUGACCAGUAGGAAGGCAACCUUAAUCAUAGUCAUCAAAUGCCUCAUUGCUGCCAAGAACUGCCUGAAAAGUGAUGGAAUUGUUUCUGCGAUAGAGGCAAUACCAUAAAAUCUCCCCAUAGUAAAAGGCUCACCCUUUGUAUAUCUAAUCAACGCAACAAUACCAAGGUAGAAGAAGACUAGAGAGAAUAUAAACAUGUAUCCAAUAGC